UUUUAGCCCCGAUAGCAGUGAAAAUCCUUGUGUGCCGGGGUUCGGCACACAAGAUUGUAACGGAUAGCGGGAGGAUAU
rfam:Flavobacterium sp. EM1308 contig00004, whole genome shotgun sequence.